AUUGAACGCUGGCGGCAGGCUUAACACAUGCAAGUCGAGCGAGCGGCGGACGGGUGAGUAAUGUCUGGGAAACUGCCUGAUGGAUGGGGUUAACUACUGGAAACGCUAGCUAAUACCGCAUACCAUCAGAUGUGCCCAGAUGGGAUUAGCCAGUAGGUUGGGUAAUGGCUCACCUAGGCGACGAUCCCUAGCUGGUCGGAGAGGAUGACCAGCCACAAUGGAACUGAGACACGGUCCAGACUCCAACGAGAGGCAGCAGGGGGGAAUAUUGGACAAAGGGAGCAGGGCUGAUGCAGCCAAGCCGCGUGUGUGAAGAAGGCCUUCGGGUUGUAAAGCACUUUCAGCGAGGAGGCGUUACUCGCAGAAGAAGCACCGGCUAACUCCGUGCCAGCAGCCGCGGUAAUUC
rnacentral:rRNA from 1 species